rnacentral:rRNA from 1 species
UACGUAGGGUGCAAGCGUUGUCCGGAAUUAUUGGGCGUAAAGGGCUCGUAGGCGGUUCGUCGCGUCGGCUGUGAAAACCCGGAGCUCAACUCCGGGCCUGCAGUCGAUACGGGCGGACUGGAGUUCGGCAGGGGAGACUGGAAUUCCUGGUGUAGCGGUGAAAUGCGCAGAUAUCAGGAGGAACACCGGUGGCGAAGGCGGGUCUCUGGGCCGAUACUGACGCUGAGGAGCGAAAGCGUGGGGAGCGAACAGG